UCCCUGGUGGCUCAGAUGGUAAAGCAUCUGCCUACAAUGCAGGAGACCUGGGUUCAAUCCCUGGGUUAGGAA
rfam:TPA: Bos taurus chromosome 28, whole genome shotgun sequence.